AAAACUAAUAUGAGGCUUAUAAAAGAUGAGUGAUUCCUUUUUUAAUGAUUGGCAUUUAAAAGUGCAUUUGGGUGCCUUCCAUAUGCAAAUUAAUAGAGAUAUAUUGAGGUUAAAGACUCUACUAUUUAAAAUUUUAUAGACAGCUGAAAAGUGCAUGUAAAUAAGAACAUAAAAUAUGUUUUCAGAAUAUUUGUGAAUUUCAUUUUCAAAUUAAUUUCAAUCUACUUAUUAAAACUAAAUGGAAAUGUUGCAAAAAUUUUCUUUUUGUUGAGAACAAAGCAAAUUUUUAACUAGCCAUCUGAGUAUGUAUUAAUUGAAGUCUUUAGGAUAAAGUUGGAAAUUUGUAAUGUAGCUACUUAACUCAAAUAUAUAAAAUACGUAUAAAUAUAUAUAGCUUUAAUAUAUACAUAAAGUGUAUAUCUUAAAUAUAAACAUAUAUAUCUUAUAUGUAGAAGAGAUGCCUUGGGAGAGAGCUCAUUUCGUAAAGUACUUUCACAAGGCUGAGGACCUGUGUUUCGGCCCCCAGCAUGUACAUACAAACCAGGGUGUUAUGGUGUGCAUGCUUGAAAUCCAAAUCCUGGGAGGUGGAGCCAGGGAGAUUGCUGGAGCUACUAGCCAGUUUGCUAGCCAGAUAGGUAAGUCCCAGGUUCAGUGAGAGACCACGUUUCAAAAAAUAAGGUGGGAAACGAUUGAAGAAGAUAUUCAAAGUAAACCUUUCACUUGCAUAUACCCAUGUGCACAUAUAUGGCAAGAUUUAGGAGAGAAAUAGCAUUUUCAGUUUAUCUUCUCAACUUUUUGUAUCUGAGAUAGUCAUUUUUCCUUUAAGAUAGCAAAUUGCUAACAUAAAAUGUAUGAUAUAUUAGCAAAUGAGAGUUUUAAGUAUAGAGUUAAUGGUUGCAGAUUGCAAGUUUCUGUAUAAUCUUUUUGUCGCAUGGUAUUUAAUUAAGCAUUUAACUGAGGUUCCCUUCCUCUGCCUCCUGGAUGCUGGGAUUGAUGGCAUGGGUCACCACACUUUAGUCUUUGAUUUGUCUAUGUGAUCUUGGACUUUAUCUCUGAGAUUUAUGAAGAUUAAAUGAAGUAAUGAGAAGGUUUGUUCAUUGUUUGAAACUUACUCUUUUAUUUAUUUGUGCCAGUGUGUAUGUGCAGGAGUUGAUUUUUUCUGUCUACUAUAUAAGUCUUGGUGAUGACACUCAGGUUGUGAGGCUUGGUGUAACCACCAUUACCUGCUGAGCCAUGUUGCUGUCCUCCUGUAAAUUUUAACUUCAUCUUACUCCUUUCUCUUAAGAAUGAAAAGGCAAAACAGGCUUGGGGAUGGGGGCGUGGGAGAAUAAGAUUGGGGUUUUUAAAGUAUUUAAUUCUGAAUUUGGUGAAAUCUGUAAGUGUGAAAUUUGAUUUCUUUUCUUUUUUCUUUUCUUUCUUUUUUUUGGUUUUUCGAGACAGGGUUUCCCUGUGUAGCCCUGUCCUGGAACUCACUUUGUAGAACAGGCCGGCCUCAAACUCAGAAAAUCCGCCUGUUUCUGCCUCCCAAGUGGAAAUUUGAUUUCUUAAGUUUUACAAAUUGCAGUUAGCUCCAGUGAUGGUUCUUCCCCACCCCCACCCCCCCACCAACCCCUGAAUCUAAGAAGCUAGGGAAUGAAAUUUUUAGAAGAGGUUGUGCUUAUCUCACCGAGAACUUACAAAUUCACUUGCAGGGACUGAAGUAGAAUCUUUUCUGUUUUCUUCUUCUAGAAAGGAAGCUCUUUUCUCUCUGUUUCUCUUCUUCCAGUUGCUGUAGUUUUUGAGGAAGUUAGGGCUUGAGUUGAUGAAGUUAGUUUUGUCAUCUCCCUCUGUUGUCUCUCUGUGGCACAUUGCACAUUUUCUGAAACAAUAUUCCCAGCCUCCACUUUCUGGGUUUCCUAGCAGGAUUGUGUACUUUAUGUCUCUAGGUUUGUAGGACAUAAUAUUAGGGGAAAUUUAUUAACUAAAUUUUUUUUUUAGAGAUUUCAUUUUACAGAAUGAGAAACAUAUUACUACUUUUAGGAAAAGAGUCAGCCUAGAUACUGGUUAAUGUUUUAAAAUAGUCAUCC
rnacentral:lncRNA from 1 species